GUGUCGUUUGAAAGGAGAGCAGUUUGGACCUCCCUUUGGCAAGGAUGGACACGUAAAUGAUCAGAUAAGGCACAAAAUUAUAAAAUUUUAGAGCUAUUGAAAUUCUGUUAAUUUUUCUUU